rnacentral:rRNA from 1 species
UACAGAGGUCUCGAGCGUUGUUCGGAUUCAUUGGGCGUAAAGGGUGCGUAGGCGGUCGGGUAAGUCUGACGUGAAAUCUUCAAGCUCAACUUGGAAACUGCGUCGGAUACUAUUCGGCUAGAGGAAUGGAGGGGAGACUGGAAUACUUGGUGUAGCAGUGAAAUGCGUAGAUAUCAAGUGGAACACCAGUGGCGAAGGCGAGUCUCUGGACAUUUCCUGACGCUGAGGCACGAAAGCCAGGGGAGCAAACGGG